rnacentral:lncRNA from 1 species
GUUUUGUAUACUUGGAAUAAUCCCAUCUGAUUAUGGCAUAUACCUCAUUUACAUAUUGUUGAAUUCAAUUUGGGUUCAUAUUUUGUUCAGGAUUUUUUGCAUAUAAGUUCAUAAAAGAUCUAGGUCUGUAGUUUUAUCUUUUUCUUUUAACACUACCUUCAUCUUGCUUUGGUAUCAGGAUAAUUAUAGCUUCAUCAAAUGAUUUGUGGACUGUUUCUUCUUCUCCUUCCCCAUUUUCUUUUUGUGGUGUUAGGGAUCAAACCCAGGGUCUUGUGUGUGCUAAGCAGGUACUCUACCACUGGACUCCAUUUCCAGCUCUCCUUUUCAGUUCUUUUUUGAAAGAGAUUAUAUAUAUUUGAUUUUAAUUUUUCUUUAAAUGUUUGCUAGAAUUCUUCAGUGAAAGUAUAUGGGCCUGGCCUGGAGUGAUGGCACACACCUGUAAUCCCAGCUGCUUGGGAGACUGAGACAGGAGGAUCUCAAGUUCAAAGCCAAUCUCAGCAAUGGCAAGGUGCUAAGCAACUCAGUGGGACCCUGUCUCCAAAUAAAGUACAAAAUAAAUAGGGCUGUGGAUGUGGCUCAGUGGCCGAGUGCCCCUGAGUUCAAUCCCUGGUACCCCCCUCCCCCCAAAAAAAAAGAAAGAAAGAAGGAAAGUAUAGGGGCCUGGAGAUUUCCUUUUCCUAAGCUUUCUAAUUAUUUAUUCCAUGUCUUUAAAGAUCAUAGAACUAGUCAGUCUGUUUAUUUCAUCUCAGUCAAGUUUUGGUAGUUUGUGGUUUUCAAGGAAUUGGUUCAUUCCUUCCAAGUUCUCAAAUUUAAAAUCCUUUUGCCGUCUGCAGGAUCUUUAGUCAUGUUCUAUUUUGUUCCUGCUAUUGACGAUUUGUGUUUUCUCUUUUAUUUUUAUAGUCUCACUAGAAGUUUGUCAAUUUUGUUAUUUUUUCGAAAGAUAAACUUUUUGGAUUAUUGAUUUUCCUACUCUUUUCCUGAUUUCAAGUUCAUUGAAUUCUGCUUUUUAUUAUUUUUUCUGCUUGUAUUGAGCUUAUAUUCUGCUUUUCUUUUCCCAGUUUCUUGACAUAUGAACUUAGAUUAUUCUUUUGAGAUUUUCAUCUUUUCUAAUACAAGCAUUUAGUGUUGUUAAUUUCUUUCCCAUACCUCCUGCAUAUUAUAAUGUACAGUAUUUUCUUUUACAUUUUGUUCUAUAUAUUUUUAAAAAUUGCUUUGAGACUUCUUUGACUUUUAGAGCCAGUUAAUUUGUUUGUUUGUUUAUCUUUUGUGGUACUGGGGUUGAAUCCAGACCUCUAUGCCCUCGGCCUGAUAGGACAAGAUAAUUUUUAAAUUUGUAGUGUUUAUGGACUUUUUUAAACCUGUGGCUGAUUAUAAUGAAAAGUAGGAGAAUAAAUUUAAAUAUUGUCAAGAAUCUAGCAAAUGAAAGACAAGUCAUGGUUAAUACUACACUUUGGAGGUGACAAAAAAAUAAGGGCUCAGAAUAAGCAUUCAAAAGCCUUCCUAGAAAAUGCUAACAUGCAGCCCAUGGGAGAG